GAUGAACGCUAGCGGCAGGCCUAAUACAUGCAAGUCGAACGGUGUCUUCGGACAUGGUGGCGCACGGGUGCGUAACACGUAUGCAACCUACCUUACAUUGGGGGAUAGCCUUUCGAAAGGGAGAUUAAUACCGCAUAAGACAGUAGCUGGGCAUCCAGCAGAUGUUAAAGAUUUAUCGAUGUAAGCUGGGCAUGCGUCCAAUUAGCUAGUUGGUGAGGUAACGGCUCACCAAGGCAAUGAUUGGUAGGGGAACUGAGAGGUCAAUCCCCCACACUGGCACUGAGAUACGGGCCAGACUCCUACGGGAGGCAGCAGUAGGGAAUAUUGGGCAAUGGACGCAAGUCUGACCCAGCCAUGCCGCGUGCAGGAUGAAGGCGUUAUGCGUUGUAAACUGCUUUUAUACAGGAAGAAACGACUCUUGCGAGAGGCAUUGACGGUACUGUAUGAAUAAGCACCGGCUAACUCCGUGCCAGCAGCCGCCGUAAUAC
rnacentral:rRNA from 1 species